AUUGAACGCUGGCGGCAUGCCUUACACAUGCAAGUCGAACGGCAGCACGGGUGCUUGCCCCUGGUGGCGAGUGGCGAACGGGUGAGUAAUACAUCGGAACAUGUCCUGUAGUGGGGGAUAGCCCGGCGAAAGCCGGAUUAAUACCGCAUACGAUCUACGGAUGAAAGCGGGGGACCUUCGGGCCUCGCGCUAUAGGGUUGGCCGAUGGCUGAUUAGCUAGUUGGUGGGGUAAAGGCCUACCAAGGCGACGAUCAGUAGCUGGUCUGAGAGGACGACCAGCCACACUGGGACUGAGACACGGCCCAGACUCCUACGGGAGGCAGCAGUGGGGAAUUUUGGACAAUGGGCGAAAGCCUGAUCCAGCAAUGCCGCGUGUGUGAAGAAGGCCUUCGGGUUGUAAAGCACUUUUGUCCGGAAAGAAAUCCUUGGCCCUAAUACGGUCGGGGGAUGACGGUACCGGAAGAGUAAGCACCGGCUAACUACGUG
rnacentral:rRNA from 1 species